rnacentral:rRNA from 1 species
GACGAACGCUGGCGGCGUGCCUAAUGCAUGCAAGUCGAACGCACAGUUUAUACCGUAGCUUGCUACACCAUAGACUGUGAGUUGCGAACGGGUGAGUAACGCGUAGGUAACCUGCCUGGUAGCGGGGGAUAACUAUUGGAAACGAUAGCUAAUACCGCAUAAUAUUAAUUAUUGCAUGAUAAUUAAUUGAAAGGUGCAAUUGCACCACUACCAGAUGGACCUGCGUUGUAUUAGCUAGUAGGUGAGGUAACGGCUCACCUAGGCGACGAUACAUAGCCGACCUGAGAGGGUGAUCGGCCACACUGGGACUGAGACACGGCCCAGACUCCUACGGGAGGCAGCAGUAGGGAAUCUUCGGCAAUGGACGAAAGUCUGACCGAGCAACGCCGCGUGAGUGAAGAAGGUUUUCGGAUCGUAAAGCUCUGCUGUAAGAGAAGAACGGGUGUGAGAGUGGAAAGUUCACACUGUGACGGUAUCUUACCAGAAAGGGACGGCUAACUACGUG